UUUGCUUUACCUCGCUUACUCCGGGAUCCGUGUGCUCCAGGGACACUCACGUGGCGCAGUGUCUGCCCCCUCCCUGUCCCUUUUUAUCGUGGGGAAAGUUGCAGGCUCAUAAUGUGAGAUCUGUUCCUCGCCCAGGACCUUGGGCAAGCAAGUCACUCGCCAAUCCUGACUCUCCCAGCUUCCUCGGGCCUGACGAGUUGUAAUAGGCGCUGCUGAGUCAGUGUAUUCAUUUAUGAGCUAAUUAGGGAUCGAACUUGGGACUUUCCACUUGCGAGGCCAGCGGCAGAACCACUGAGCUAAAUCCCUGGCACACUGGAUUUUGUCUUGAAAGAAAAAGGAAGCCAUUUUCAUCAGGGGAAUGAUACCAAAUUUGGGUUUCUGAAAGGUCACCCAAGCUGCAUGGCUUGGAAGGCAUGGGGAGUGGGUGUGGGGAGACCAAUAGGAGGCUGCUGAAGCUUUCCAGGCACAAAGUAAUAGUAACUCAGACUGGGUAGUGGCUUGGGAGCUGGAGAAGGAGAGGAUGUAAGAGUGGAUGUGGGUGGGUGCUGAGGCAUUGAAGUAACACUUGGCUUUAGUCUUGAGUCAGUGAAGGGCUGGAAGAGCCUUGGUCCCCAUGGCACAGCCUACAAAAAGAACAAACUCAAGAAGAUCAAAAGUUUGGCUGUUGGGCGGGGGAUUUAGCUUAGUGGCACUGCACCUUCCUCGAAAGCAUCAAGGUCCUGAGUUCGACCCCCAGUACUGGGUGGGGGGGAAGUUUGGCUGUGAAAAAUUAAGUUUGAGAUGCUUGGGCAGCAUGUAAGUAGGAGAGUGUAUAGCAGUUUUCCAUGAGUCUGAAGAACAGAAGGGAUGAUACAUCACAGUCCUGGGAUGUUCCAAGGGAAAGAAGGUAGAUAGAGAAUGGGCAGAGGAGGAGGAACCAGGAGAGAAAACUGAGAAGAGGAAGGACUAGGAGAGCAUGGGAUCCCAGACAAGUUUUCAAGAAGAAAGGAAUGUUAAGUAGGGUUAACUGCUGUGGAGGACAGAAAUGAUACCUUGUGUUUGGGAAGAGGAUUUGUGGACUAUGCCCUUUAUGUUGCAAGUUUUAAAAAAAUCACUUGGCUUAAAAAAUAAGUAGCCUGUCACUCAUUGGUAGAUGGAGUGGCUUGGCAAUCUGGCAAUGUCAUGAGACCGGGGUCAUUCCAUCUCUCAGUUGUCUUUUUGUUGGUUUCACGCUUAUGGUCACCCUAGUUCCUAGAGUCAUAUCCAAGUCAGAGAUGUUCAUUCCUUCUCUAGUUGAGACUCAGACAGGCCUAGAAGUGGCCUUUCACCAUUCUGCUGUUGACAGUGGUGGUGAGCCUGUGGCACAUAUGCUACAGCAGGCUGUUGGUAUCAUUGAAAGCUCUAAAAGGUUUGCCAUCACUGGGAUAAGGGGUUAAUGUACCCAUGCCAGGCACACCCAGUAUCCAACAUGAGAGGGAAAGAGAAGCCUUGUGGUGGAAACUUGUUUAGAAAAAGAGGAGGCUAAGCAUUGGAAGGAUCUGGAGCAAUUAAAUUUCUUACACACUGCUGAUGGCAGAAGAAGAUGAUGCAACUAUUUUAGAAAUCACAGUGUCUAGUAAUCUAAGCAUGCAUUUAUGUUAGGAUUUAAAAUUUCCACUCCUAAGUACUCAAGAGAAAUGAACACCUAUGUCUAUAUAAAGACCGUGUAAGAAUGUUCAUAGAAGAUUAAUUUAUAGCUCAACUGAAUAGCCUAGUAUCCAUCAACAAGAAACUGGAUCGACAAACUGUGACCUGUCCACCCAGUAGAGUUCAGCUGGCCCUCCACACCCACAGCUUCUGUAUCUAAGAUUUCAGCCAACCUCAGAUUGAAAAUAUUUCAACCAACCUCAGACUGAUAAGAAAUGCACAGGAAAUGAAGGGGUACCAGCAUCCCAGAGUGCAUAUGGCAUGUACUGCCCAGCAAGGAUCAGAAGAUCCAUCUUCAGAGCUUCGCAUCAGGUGCCAUCUGCUCCAUGAAGCCUUUGCAUUCAGUCAGCAAAUAUUGAUUGGACAUCUAAGAUGAGCCAGGCCCUGUGCUGAGCAUGGAGGAGAAGAGAAGACAGAUGCCAUCUCCAGUCUGGAGAGAAGGAAGUUGAGCAAUGUGCAUUUUCUUCCUAUCUCAGCCCCACAAGACUCAAGCUCCCUGAGGGCAAGGCUCAAUUUGGAUCUGGCCUGGAGAAGAUAGUGGCUGUUGCAGGAGUGAAUGAAAGAAAGGCUGGGGAAUGCUCCUUUCUUAUUUGUGCUCCAAGCCUGUGAUUUAGCCAGCAACCAGGUUCAUGGAAUUCAACUGAAAAUGAAUGACAAUUUGGGGCUAUAUGAUGAACUGAGAAGUGGUUAUGAAUAGGACAAACUAUUGUGAAAUCACAAUACCAGCUUUCCUAUAUCAUCAUCCUUACAAUUCCUUUUUACAAAAAUCAACAUUAUGUUCUUACCAAGACUUGGAUUCAGGAGAUUCAACCUGUACUGGAACAAUAGUUAAAGCACCCAAGAAUCUGUGUGAUAUCAAAAGAUGUAAAAUGUACUAAGAGGGCUGGGGCGUAGCUCAACUUUAGUAUGCACAGGACCUUGGGUUCAAUCCCUAGCACUACAGGGGGUGGAGGGAGACAGAGACAAAGAGACAGACAAAGGUGGAAGAGGAAGAGGAGAAGGAGGAGGAGAAGUUGUUGUUGUUCUAGGGUAGCACAGACUGUAGCCAGAAUGCUGCAAUUUAUUCCCAUUCCUCAUUUAUUAGUUGUGUGUCCUAGUGCAAUUUACUUAACCCCUUAACUCUUUAUGCCUUCUUUUUCCCAUCUGUAAAUGAGGAAAACAUUAGAGCCUAUCUGAUACGGUUAUAUACAGAAAUUCAAUGAGUUCACAUUACAAAGUGCUUAAAAACAGCAACUGCCCCACAGCGCUCAUGGCUACCUGUUAUUACAAAUGGAUAAAAUGGACUGUCUCAGACUAGGCAUGCUGUGGAUGCUUGUCCCUGGUUGGGGAGGCCCCAUCUUAGCCUGUUUUUCUGCUGCUACAGCUAGGAAGUCCCAGAGCCUGCCACCAUCCUCUGGGAGGGAUCUUUAGGGGUGGGUCUUGCUGCAUAGGGCAUCACUUGGAACAGAGUGACCUCGGGUUUCUCAUCCUUAAAAGCCACUAGUGCCAUCCUGAGGAUUGCACUUGCUAGACCUCAUUUAAUCCUAAUUACCUUCCCAAAGCCCCACCUCCUAUAUCGUUAACAUAUAAAUUUGAAGAUUAAGUUUCCAACACGUAAACAUUUUUUUUGGGGGGGGGACACAUGGCGACCCCUCCCAACCGUGGCUCUUAAGGAGACACAGCCAUUAGGCACAAAUCCCCAACCUUUCAAGACUUUGGGAGGCCUUUUUCUUCCCGCGGCUCCUUUUUCCUACCGCCCUCACUCCCACUCCCCCCGCCCCCCCUUCCUCGGCUUUUGUACCAGCCUCAAGGCUUCCUCAAUGCAAAGCAAGUGCUGUUUUAGCAAAGUCUAUGGUGACACCUAGAGGUAAAAUGGGGGAACUUCCCAACCUUAACUUGCCCGGACCAUUAAUUGAUACAGUGAUAUAUUAAACUCUUACUGCAUUCCAGAGACUGUUACAUGAAAUGUCUAGUUAAUUUUCAGUGUAAUCAUGUAAAAUAUAGACUGACUCACUAAAAACGUGAAGACCAAUAAAGAAAAAAGGGACUGUUCCAGUUCAAAGGAGACUGAAGAAGUAUAACAGCUAAAUACCACAUGUAAUUCUAAAUUCCACUCAAAAAGAUUUGCUAUAAAGGACAUUAUUGAGAAAGCUGGCAAAAUUUUAAUGUGGACCAUGAACUAGAUAAUAGUCAAUUAGAUAUAGUAUAUUGUCCAAUGUAUUUUCUUUUCCAAUGUAUUUUCUGAUUUUAAUGAUUAGGAGAAGUCUGUGUGGACCUGACCAGCUCAGGUGCAUGCAGUCCAAGCCAGGGCCCUGCCCAGACUCCAGCAGCUUGGGCCCACAGGCCCCAGCCAAAGGCCCACCUGGAAAGGAGUUGCACAGGUAUGUCCAAAUUCCAUCAGUGGGUGCAGGCAGGUCCCAGCGAGAAGCCCACAUGGACCAGAGCAGUGAGGAUGUACCCAGGUCCCAGUCAGGGCCCUGCCCAGAUACCAGCAGCUUGGGCCCACAGGCCCCAGCCAAAGGCCCUUCUGGAAAAGAGCUACACAGGCAGGCAAGCAACAGCCAGAGGCCCACCCAGAUACCAUUGGUAAGUGCAUGCAGACCCUAGCCAGAAACCUGCUCAGACACCAGUGACCCAGGUGCAUAACCCCCAGCCAAAGGCCCUCCCAGACAACAGCAAUGCUGGGGGCAGGCCCCAGUCACAGGCACUCCCAGAUACCAUCCUAAGAGUGCACAGGCCCAAGCCAGAACCCCACCUGGACAACAGGGCAGUGUAGGGAUUCAGAAGGGCACCAUACUGAACCUAGGAAUUGGCACAGUGGUGAGCAGGAGAGAAAAGCCCUCUUGGUGGCUUGUUGAGAAUUGAAGACCACUGGGCAAGCAAAAAGUUGCCUCAACAAAGGCGCAGCAGGCUGCAGCUGUUGAA